GUGGGGAAUCUUCCGCAAUGGACGAAAGUCUGACGGAGCAACGCCUCGUGAGUGAAGAAGGUUUUCGGAUCGUAAAGCUCUUUCGUUAGGGACGAACGUGCUCUUUGUGAAUAAUGAGGAGUAAUGACGGUACCUAAAUAAGAAGCCACGGCUAACUACGUGCCAGCAGCCGCGGUAAUACGUAGGUGGCAAGCGUUGUCCGGAAUUAUUGGGCGUAAAGCGCGCGCAGGCGGGAUAUCAAGUCUGUCUUAAAAGUGCGAGGCUCAACCUCGUGAGGGGACAGAAACUGGUAUUCUUGAGUGUCGGAGAGGAAAGUGGAAUUCCAAGUGUAGCGGUGAAAUGCGUAGAGAUUUGGAAGAACACCAGUGGCGAAGGCGACUUUCUGGACGAUGUCUGACGCUGAGGCGCGAAAGCUAGGGGAGCGAACGGGAUUAGAAACCCGGGUAGUCC
rnacentral:rRNA from 1 species